rnacentral:rRNA from 1 species
CGCGUAGGCUGUUUUUUAAGUCAAAUGUGAAAGCCCGGGGCUCAACUCCGGAAGUGCAUUUGAUACUGAAGAACUUGAGUAUGGGAGAGGGAAGCGGAAUUCCUGGUGUAGCGGUGAAAUGCGUAGAUAUCAGGAGGAACACCGGUGGCGAAGGCGGCUUCCUGGACCAAUACUGACGCUGAGGCGCGAAGGCGUGGGGAGCAAACA